AGAAGAAAGAAGAAGAAUGUAUGUACUGACGAGAGACCAAACUUGGGUCUGAAAAUGUUUUACGGAAUAAACGUUUGCUUGUGUGUAGUGCUAUUUUUGAGGACUGAGUAUUUUUACUUUUAUGAAAAAAGAAGUCAGCCGGAUGACCAUGUAGUGAUGCAGUGGCUUGCUGUCCUGGAAACUGGUUUCAAUUCUGGAUCCCACAUCUCCAAUUUCCCCCCCCAGAAAGGAUUCACUUACAGGAUGUUGAACCCCAUUCUUCACCAUUCUGAUUGAUCUAUCAAAAGUAUUAACCAGCCUGUGAUAGUCUCUAAAAGAUAUUGCCACCAGAUAUAGUAUAUACCAUGAGUGAUAUGGUGACUUAAUUGAAAACAUAAUGGUACUAUAAGUGAAACCACACUGUACAUAUAUUAUUUCUGCUUUAUGUAACCUAUAUAUUUAUCAUAACAUAAAUCUCUCACAAGGAGAGGUUGCAAAGUGGAAUCCACUGAUUUUGAUGGGG
rnacentral:lncRNA from 1 species